rnacentral:SRP_RNA from 1 species
UACCGGUCCCCUCGCAAUGAUUAACCGUGAACCCGGUCAGGUCCGGAAGGAAGCAGCCGCAGCGGUGACGUCGUGUGCCGGGGUGUGGCUGGUAGGG